GCUAAAGUAAUGAGCAAUGAGCAGGACUCUUUCUAAACAGAAAAAAUUUUCACACCAGACAGAGUCCAAAACCUCUGAGGGUUAACUGAGGGGAACUAUAAUACUAAGCAGAUGAAGUCUCUGAAAUAACAUUGCAACACCUCCCGGCAUUCCUCUCCUUGUUUCCAUAGGACGUCUCCUGAGUGAUUGAACUGCUAUGCAUGGGGACACCUGAGGUCACCUCCAGCCCUGGCCCUGGUCCCGCUCAGCCCAGCACCCUUUGCACUGUGCUGCAGAAAGGCCUAUUGGGCACACGGAACAUCCAGAGACUUCCUAGGGAAACCGUGGAUUCAUCUACUGCCAAUUGAGUGGCUGCACCAGCUUGCAUUCCCAAUGGAACUGCUUUCUUUUACAACGUGUCUCUCUCCAGAGAGCUGGGCCGUCUGGACACCCACAAAGCAUCGCCUUUAUCCUUUAUGUUGAUAACAUGCAAUCAGGAACGGUGAGCUAGCAGAGGCUCAUCUUGGUAAGAUGCCUGUAAUUAAAGGGUGGGAGAUAAACCUUAUGAAGAUUCAACAGCCCAUCCCUUCGCCAAAGUUUUUAAAGAUCCGACGGUCAGGGACACCAUGGUCAAAGUAAACUACACAUGGCCUGAUCAUACGUCUGUUACUUAGGAGAAAGCACAAUGUCUCUCAGGCCUCCAGGUAGAGGUAAGGUGUUGGCAGCUCAUCACAGAUGAAUGAAGAAGGGCUGGGAGGUUCUCGCAGGCACGGUCUGGGCUAAGGAUCUGUGAGGUUAAGGUCAGAAAUAAUAUCGCUGGGGAGCCUCAGGCUGAUGGCCCAAGCUCCUUUCUUUGGUGGCGCUCCCUGUAUCUCUACCUAUUUCUCCGCCUGGGCUGAGGUCUCGGAGCCUGGGAUCCUAGACCAGGAACCCUGAAGGGAUGUCAGAGGAGCAGCCUCACCGCUGUAGCAGCUGCAUCUUGGGAAGGGGAGCCCGGGGGGCCAUUCUCCUGAGCUGCUUCCUCACCUGCUGGAGUCCUAGUUGGCUCCCACGUUUGCAUCCGUUUUAGAAUUUUAAUUUUAGCACUUAAAAGAUGCAACAUUGCUCAGGCCAUCUGUCCUUGGAAAAAGCACGUGUGGACUAGUUUACAGUUUACAUAGCGUGUAAAAUAACAGGAAAUUCGUUACCAUCCCAAUAACCCUUUGUCCCCAUUUCACACACAGAGGCAGCAGAGGCACAACAAGCGAAGGGACGUGCCACGCAAGAAACGGGCGUGUGAACCGAGACCUUCUCGUUCCAAACCCCGCUGACUUUUCAGUACAUCUACAUGCCCACGCUCUAA
rnacentral:lncRNA from 1 species